rnacentral:rRNA from 1 species
ACGGGGGCCCGCACAAGCGGUGGAGCAUGUGGUUUAAUUCGAAGCAACGCGAAGAACCUUACCUGGUCUUGACAUCCUCGGACAAUCUCAGAGAUGGGAAGUUGCCUUCGGGAACAGAGAGACAGGUGGUGCAUGGUUGUCGUCAGCUCGUGUUGUGAAAUGUUGGGUUAAGUCCCGCAACGAGCGCAACCCUUGUUCUUUGUUGCCAGCGGUCCGGCGGGCAAUUUAAAGGAGACUGCCAGUGAUAAACGGGAGAAAGGUGGGGAGGAGUUCAAUUCUUCAUGCCCUUUUGGCCCAGGGUACCCCACUUGUUCCAAUGGCGCAUACAAAGAGAAGGAACCUCGGGGGAGCAAGCAAUCCUACAAAUCUGUUUUCUAGUCGGGAUGCGGUUUGCAAAUUGGAUUCCAUGAAGUGGGAAUCGUUUGUUAUCGGGAUCAGAAUGCCACGGAAUUAUUUCCGGGCCCUUACCACACGCCCGUGUCACCACAUGGGAGUGGGACCAAAAGAAGUAGGUAGGUUACCUUUUGGGA